AACAGUUUAACAUUUAAACAUAUGGUUCAAGAGAUAAAAUAUUUUAAAAUAGUGGAUGUACAAAAAGACUUUCAGACUUGUGACAAAUCACAAACAUGCAUGUGUCAUUUGUUCCAACCUAAAGGAGUGGGAAUGAUCUUUAAAAACAGUAUCCCUCAAUUAACGAUUUCGACAACCACCUCGUUGUUUUUUGUAAAAUAAAGCCACCUCCUUGUUGCUUAAUGGUCAUGGAUCACUUCAUGC
rnacentral:lncRNA from 1 species